UACGAAGGGUGCAAGCGUUACUCGGAAUUACUGGGCGUAAAGCGUGCGUAGGCGGCUUUGCAAGACAGGUGUGAAAUCCCCGGGCCUAACCUGGGAACUGCAUUUGUGACUGCAUGGCUAGAGUUUGUCAGAGGGGGGUGGAAUUCCACGUGUAGCAGUGAAAUGCGUAGAUAUGUGGAGGAACACCGAUGGCGAAGGCAGCCCCCUGGGAUGUGACUGACGCUCAUGUACGAAAGCGUGGGGAGCAAACAGG
rnacentral:rRNA from 1 species